AUGAUUACGUGCGAAGGGGCUACCUCGAGUGCCACCUGAUGAAGGUGGCUUUUCCUAGGUCUAAAAAGCCUUGGGAAUAAGAGGGGGGCAAGACUGGUGUCAGCCGCCGCGGUAACACCAGCCCCUCGAGUGGUGGGGAUGAUUAUUGGGCCUAAAGCGUCCGUAGCCUGCCGUAUAAGUUUCCCGUUAAAUCCAGCGUCUCAAGCGUUGGACUGCGGGAAAUACUGUACGGCUAGAGAGUGGGAGAGGUCAGCGGUAUUCUGGGGGUAGGGGCGAAAUCCUUUGAUCCCCGGAGGACCACCAGUGGCGAAGGCUGCUGACUAGAACACGUCUGACGGUCAGGGACGAAAGCUGGGGUAGCGAACCGGAUUAGAUACCCGGGUAGUCCCAGCCGUAAACGAUGCAUGCUAGGUGUUGGGUUGGCCACGAGCCACCCCAGUGCCGCAGGGAAGCCGUUAAGCAUGCCGCCUGGGAAGUACGAUCGCAAGGUUGAAACUUAAAGGAAUUGGCGGGGGAGCAC
rnacentral:rRNA from 1 species